rnacentral:lncRNA from 10 species
GUCUGAGGCAAGAGGGUAUCUUGAGCCCAGGAGACUGAGGCUGCAGUGAGCUAUGAUUGCACCACUAUAGUCCAGCCUGGGCAACAGAGCAAAACUCUGUCCCUAAAACAUGAAAAAUAAUACGUUUUUUCAAAAAGAUCAAGCUUGCUGAUCCCAAUAGUUGUGCUGUCAGUGUGCCAGUUCAGUCAAAGUCUUAUAACUUCCUUGAGCAUUUCAGGUCUUCCUGAAGGCUCCCCAGCUCUGGCUCUGCUCUCAGCCAGAUACUGAGCAGUGUUACUGUAGUGAUUUCCCACCACCUAUUGCAAAGGAGGCUGCCUCCAUGCCAAGCCAUCCUGGGCCCAGUAGGCACAGAACUAAAAGAGCACCAGGGAUCAUUGAGUCUAUUUCUCUGCUUACAGGCAGGACAUGUCUAAGCCAUCCAGCCUGAAGAGAAUCUCUUCUAGUUAGAAUCUCUCCAGAAACUCUAUAACUUCUGUUAUCUUAGGGUAGACCAAUACUUAAUGACCAAUAUUUCACCCUGACCAAUAGUUAAUGAGAAAAAUUUCCAGGAAACUUCUUUAAAAAAUGAUCAAUUUUGGCUCUUCUGCACACUAUUAAUCCCAGUAGUUUUCAAGAACACAAGACAUCACAGUCCCAUCAAUGUGGAGGAAAAGCUAAACAUUCUCAAAAUGAAAAACAUUUUUUAUAUUUAUGACAACUCAAUCUAAGCCAUAGUUUAUAAGGACAAAGCUGACCAAGAGUUUUGUGAGUCUUUGCAAGGUGAAAAAUAAGAUAAUUUGAUAUUCCUAAUGCUAACAUUCUUCCUCAACUCUGCAAUUCAUUUUUCAAAAAGAAAAUAUAAUUUCCAUCCUAGUAGAUGAGGUACUAAUACAGCCAGAGCUUUAGUACAGAUUCUGGUUUAGUAGUAUUUCCAAGCAUCUUUCUUUUUUUUUCUUCUAUUUUCUUUUUUGCAUAUAACACCUGCUCAAGCAGGAACCAGAUCACAGUUCUUGCCUGAUUAGUCCCUAGAAAUAGCAAUCCAGCCUAAAAUAGUUCAGGCGAGAGCAACAGAGCAUUCUCUCAUUCUACAACUAGCAACUCUCCUGAACUGCUCCAUUUUACUUCCUUUUGAGAAACUGGAAACAGAAAGUAUUCUGCUAUGAAUACAUAGUUUAAGUUCUGGGCAAAAACCAUCUAUCCCCGUAUGUAGAUAAAAUAUUUACUUACUGUGUUCUGGGUCUGUUUUCUCCUAGGUAUGGCAACCGUAACUUGAGUAUAAUGCCACCCAAUUAAUGUUGAUGCCUGAAUUAUGAACCAGCAAUUAUAUUUACCCUGGAUAAAAUAAGAAAAAAGAUAAUUGUAUUGACUGUAAGCAAUUCUUAUGAGUGUAAUGCCAUUUAUCAACAAUAGCAUUUAUAAGUGGAAUCACCAAUCCAUUAAUAAAUCAUUCUGAAGGUAAGUUACUCCUCUAAGUAAAGUUAAUUAAUUAUUUCAGGCAACUAUUUAGAAAAUAUGACCUUCCCUUUGCUGAUCUAAUUCCUGAAGAGUGUUUGAUUUACUAAGAGUCAGUUCCAUGAUACCAGCAGUCAAGGCUUCUAAAAGUAAGACAUUGAUUGAAACUUUCCCUUUAUUUAUUUCUUAAACCUGUUCUGUUUUUUAAAUGAGUACCAGAGAUCCACUUACUUGACUAUUUGCAAAAAGUAGCAAAUGAGGCAUUAACAAAGUUGCCCUGUCUGAUUCUAAAACCUAAACCUCUUUGACAGUUCGCUGUUAAGUAAACCACUUCCCUGCUGUGAGGAAAUGGAGUCAUCACACUCAUUAUUACCUUGAAAUGACAGGGGAGCUGUUAUGGGUUGAAAUAUAUCACCCCAGCAAAAAAUAUAUGUUGGAGUCCUAACCCCUACUACCUCAGAAUGUGACCUUAUUUGGAGACAGCCUCUUUACAGAGGUAAUCAAGUUAAAAUGAGGUCAUUAGUGUGGACCCUAAUCCAAUAUGACAUAUGCCCUUAUAAAAAGGAAAAUUUGGACACAGACACAUAGGGGGAAGAUAACAUGAAGAGACGCAUGAGAAGAUAGCCAUCUGCAAGCCAAGGACAGAGGCCUGGAACAGAUCCUUCCCUCACAGCCCUCAAAGGAACCAACCUGCCAACACCUUGAUUUCUGAAUUUUAGCUUCCAGGAGUGUGAGACAACAUUUUUCUGUUGUUUAAGCCCCACACUCUGUGAUCCUUCAUUAUGGAGCCAUGCGAUGAUGGGGCUAUGGCAUUGGCUUGGCAGCAUGAUGGAGUGAAACACUCCUCAGGAGUUCAUCUAGCCCAUCUUCUUGCCUCUGAGCAUCUUUCCUGGAUGAGUACUUUAAAAAAAUGGUGAGAAAUCUGUCUAGAAGUGCCUCAUAGGUGGUCAAGAACAGAGACUCUUGGAUCGAGCUCCUGGGGUCAAAACCCAUCUUUGCCCUUAGCAUUGGCUUGACCAUUGGCAUAUUACUUAAUUUCUCUUAGUUUUCUCAUCUGUAUAAUGGGGGUGGGUGUACCUUGGACAGUUACAAGAAUUAAACAAGUAAAUGCAUGUCAAAUACAGCAUAGUGCUUUUAAUGUAUUGUAGCUAUGAGUAUUAUUCAUUUUGUUGGCACUUUUUCAAAUUAGCUUAGGUUCAUGGCAGAACCUAGCUAUAAGUUGGCCCGCACCUUGAUCUGUUAUUUGAAUGGAUUGGCCAAGGUCGAAGACAAGGACAAGAGCAACACUCUGACUUUUGUUCUUCCCUAUUGUAUAAGUUAGGUGUAACGAGAAGAGAUCCUCAGCAGAACACUCAGAAUGAUGAGAGGAGAUCUGAGACCUGUGGGGAAAACAACCACAACAAACAUCCAUUCAUCACCAUUUUCUCAGCACCAUUGUGGGGAGUCCUACCCAUGGCUACAGAGGAAUGGCCCAAGAUGGAAGCCUGGCCUGGCAAUGCCUUCAGUUACCAGAAGGAUGUUACUAUACAUAGUGGCAAAGUUGCAAGGCCCUUCAGGUCGCCAACACUCCUCCUAAUUUCAAAGAAAUUACCAGCAGGUAAUUUCAAAGAAAAGGGAAUAGAGGCCCUGAAAGGUGAGGAGACUUAAAUAAUACUAUGUCAGAUUCAGGACAGAGCAAGAGUUGGAUACGAAGAAAUGGGCUUCCUCUAUUGCGGGAAAGAUAAGAGAGUUCAGUUACACAGCAGGAAAUCUGACCCCAGAGACUGACCAGAAUAGAGAACUAAGGGCAUGACACCCUCAGCCCUGUAAAGUUGUAGAAAUAAGAUGAUAAUGAUGAUGAUAAUGGUUAUUACCAAAUGUUGAGCAACUGUUCAAUAACAGCACUAAUUGUGUGUUCAUUGGCUAAUUGUUAAUUAAACUGUGUUAACUGUUUUGCAUGCGUGGUUACCUCAUUUAA